rnacentral:rRNA from 1 species
ACGUUAGCGGCGGACGGGUGAGUAACACGUGGGUAACCUACCUAUAAGACUGGGAUAACUCCGGGAAACCGGGGCUAAUACCGGAUAACACAUGAAACCGCAUGGUUUCAUGAUGAAAGACGGUUUUGCUGUCACUUAUAGAUGGACCCGCGGCGUAUUAGCUAGUUGGUAAGGUAACGGCUUACCAAGGCAACGAUACGUAGCCGACCUGAGAGGGUGAUCGGCCACACUGAAACUGAGACACGGUCCAGACUCCUACGGGAGGCAGCAGC